CAUAUAAGUUAUGAUGGCAUGAUUUUAAACCCCUAAUGGGAAGGAUUGUGCCUGAUGUUCAUAUG
rnacentral:ncRNA from 1 species